ACAGAGCUUAGCACAGCCCCAGCUAGUGCUCAGGAGGCAGCGAUUGCAGGGGGCUGGGGGCUGUCAUGUUAGCCCAGUACCUGGGGCUGUGCUGAGGCGGUGACUUCCUAGAGCCUUGCAUCACUUGACAUCACCCAACAAGCAGGCUUCUAUGGAGUGAGGACGUCACAGAGGCCCAUGAGCCUUGAACUAACCCCAGCGGGAAAAACUAUGGUGAAGACGGUGACUUUACCAAGGUCUCUAUGCCUACUACUCAUGUCCACACUGCAAAAAGAUGUUGGAAAACUGGAAAGGAUCAGAACGGAGCCAGAAGAACAAUUUGAGAUCUGGAAAGCCUGCCUUACAGUGAGAGACUUCAGAAGCUCAGUCUGUUUACCUUAUCCAAGAGAAAGUUAAGAGUGUUUAGAUGUAACCUCCUACUGCCUACGUAUCAGUGAAUAACAGCUCAUCUGGGCUCAGUCAUUGUCCCGCCAGUUUGGGAGCUGGAGCUGCAUGAACCCAUGUGCCUAAAUCAUGUGGAUGCUGCUGGGUUGUUUCCCAGCCUUAAUUCACAUUAAAGGAAUGUGAACCAUAUGAAAACUCUA